rnacentral:rRNA from 1 species
AUUGAACGCUGGCGGCAUGCCUUACACAUGCAAGUCGAACGGCAGCACGGGAGCAAUCCUGGUGGCGAGUGGCGAACGGGUGAGUAAUAUAUCGGAACGUGCCCAGUCGUGGGGAUAACGUAGCGAAAGCUACGCUAAUACCGCAUACGAUCUACGGAUGAAAGCGGGGGAUCGCAAGACCUCGCGCGAUUGGAGCGGCCGAUAUCAGAUUAGGUAGUUGGUGAGGUAAAGGCUCACCAAGCCGACGAUCUGUAGCUGGUCUGAGAGGACGACCAGCCACACUGGGACUGAGACACGGCCCAGACUCCCUACGGGAGGCAGCAGUGGGGAAUUUUGGACAAUGGGCGCAAGCCUGAUCCAGCAAUGCCGCGUGCAGGAUGAAGGCCUGGUUGUAA